UCCUGAUGGCUCAGACAGUAAAGAAUCUGCCUGCAAUGCAGGAGACCCAGGUUCGAUCCCUGGGUCAGGAA
rnacentral:tRNA from 1 species